GGCCCAGACUCCUACGGGAGGCAGCAGUGGGGGAUAUUGCACAAUGGGGGAACCCUGAUGCAGCGACGCCGCGUGGGUGAAGAAGCGCCUCGGCGCGUAAAGCCCUGUCAGCAGGGAAGAAAAUGACGGUACCUGAAGAAGAAGCCCCGGCUAACUACGUGCCAGCAGCCGCGGUAAUACGUAGGGGGCAAGCGUUAUCCGGAUUUACUGGGUGUAAAGGGGGCGCAGACGGCGAUGCAAGCCAGGAGUGAAAGCCCGGGGCCCAACCCCGGGACUGCUCUUGGAACUGCGUGGCUGGAGUACGGGAGGGGCAGGCGGAAUUCCUGGUGUAGCGGUGAAAUGCGUAGAUAUCAGGAGGAACACCGGCGGCGAAGGCGGCCUGCUGGACCGUGACUGACGUUGAGGCUCGAGAGCGUGGGGAGCAAACAGGAUUAGAUACCCCCGUAAU
rnacentral:rRNA from 1 species